rnacentral:rRNA from 1 species
AGAGUUUGAUCCUGGCUCAGAACGAACGUUGGCGGCAGGCUUAACACAUGCAAGUCGGAGGUGAACCGGGACUUCGGUCCCGCGGAAACUGGCGCACGGGUGAGUAACGCGUGGGAAUCUACCCUGGGGUGGGGAAUAACCGCUGGAAACGGCGGCUAAUACCGCAUACGCCUUGAGAGGGAAAGCUUUAUGCGCCCUGGGAUGAGCCCGCGUCGGAUUAGCUUGUUGGUGAGGUAACGGCUCACCAAGGCUUCGAUCCGUAGCUGGUCUGAGAGGAUGAUCAGCCACACUGGAACUGAGACACGGCCCAGACUCCUACGGGAGGCAGCAGUGGGGAAUAUUGGACAAUGGGGGCAACCCUGAUCCAGCCAUGUCGCGUGCGUGAAGAAGGCCUUAGGGUUGUAAAGCGCUUUCAGCGGGGAAGAUGAUGACGGUACCCGCAGAAGAAGCCCCGGCUAACUCCGUGCCAGCAGCCGCGGUAAUACGGAGGGGGCAAACGUUGUUCGGAAUUACUGGGCGUAAAGGGCGCGUAGGCGGAUUAUCAAGUCAGAGGUGAAAGCCCUGGGCUCAACCUAGGAACUGCCUUUGAAACUGAUAGUCUUGAGUCCGAGAGAGGAUGGCGGAAUUCCCAGUGUAGAGGUGAAAUUCGUAGAUAUUGGGAAGAACACCAGUGGCGAAGGCGGCCAUCUGGCUCGGUAC